AAGUCGUAACAAGGUUUCCGUAGGUGAACCUGCGGAAGGAUCAUUAACACGUAUCCACACGUAUCCCACCCUCAUGCGAAUUUGUUUUCAACUAUUGUUUUUAAUACUCAAAACAAACCAUUUUCACCUUUAAAACUUUUGCUAGUUGACUUUGUUUUAAAAAAGGAAUAUAUAUGCAUGCAUGUAUUUUUCUUUUGUUAAUUUUCUAAUCUAUUUGAAAAUGAACACACAUACAACUCUUAGCAAUGGAUAUCUUGGUUCUC
rnacentral:misc_RNA from 1 species